rnacentral:rRNA from 1 species
GAUGAACGCUGGCGGCGUGCCUAAUACAUGCAAGUCGAGCGAACGGACGAGAAGCUUGCUUCUCUGAUGUUAGCGGCGGACGGGUGAGUAACACGUGGAUAACCUACCUAUAAGACUGGGAUAACUUCGGGAAACCGGAGCUAAUACCGGAUAAUAUUUUGAACCGCAUGGUUCAAAAGUGAAAGACGGUCUUGCUGGCACUUAUAGAGGGAUCCGCGCUGCAUUAGCUAGUUGGUACGGUAACGGCUUACCAAGGCAACGAUGCAUAGCCGACCUGAGAGGGUGAUCCGCCACACUGGACCUGAGACCCGGUCCAGACUCCUACGGUCGGCACCAGUAGGGAAUCUUCCGCAAUGGGCGAAAGCCUGACGGCGCAACGCCGCGUGAGUGAUGAAGGUCUUCGGAUCGUAAAACUCUGUUAUUAGGGAAGAACAUAUGUGUAAGUAACUGUGCACAUCUUGACGGUACCUAAUCAGAAAGCCACGGCUAACUACGUG